UGAUGGAGUGACGUCACAGAAAGGGAAACCACGCCCAUUUUCCCCCUCAGGACGCGCCGCCAUUUUGGAUCCGCCGCCGCUCCCUGAGGUGAUGCCAGACCUUCCCAAAGAUCCCCCAGAUUUGGGGUCUCUCCAGGAGCUGCGGGCCGCCCUGGAGGGGGCGCUGCUGCGCUGCCCGGCCGAGGCCGAGCCCCCCGAGCUGGGCCCGGUGCUGCGGCUGCCGCUGCUCCCGACGGAGAAACUGAAACUCGUGCAGGGCAAACGGAUCCUCUGCGACAACCUG